rnacentral:rRNA from 1 species
UACGUAGGGGGCAAGCGUUGUCCGGAAUCAUUGGGCGUAAAGAGCGCGUAGGCGGCCCUGUAAGUCCGCUGUGAAAGUCAAGGGCUCAACCCUUGGAUGCCGGUGGAUACUGCAGGGCUAGAGUCCGGAAGAGGCGAGUGGAAUUCCUGGUGUAGCGGUGAAAUGCGCAGAUAUCAGGAGGAACACCGAUGGCGAAGGCAGCUCGCUGGGACGGUACUGACGCUAAGGCGCGAAAGCGUGGGGAGCGAACAGG